rnacentral:tRNA from 1 species
GCCUAGGUGGCUCAGAGGUUGAGCAUCUGCCUUUGGCCCAGGGCAUAAAUCCUGGAUCUGGGAUCAAAUCCCACAUUAGGCU